UACGGGGGGGGCAAGCGUUGUUCGGAAUUACUGGGCGUAAAGGGUUCGUAGGUGGCUUGCUAAGUCAGACGUGAAAUCCCUCAGCUUAACUGGGGAACUGCGUCUGAUACUGGCGAGCUUGAGUGCAGGAGAGGAACGCAGAAUUCCAGGUGUAGCGGUGAAAUGCGUAGAUAUCAGGAGGAACACCGGUGGCGAAGGCGGGUCUCUGGGCAACAACUGACGCUGAGGCACGAAAGCUAGGGGAGCAAACAGG
rnacentral:rRNA from 1 species